AUGAAAACAAUAUCGUCCAGAAGGAAAAGAGUCAGAGUUGAGAUUAGAACACUCGCUGGAAUCAGAAUCCACCAUGCCAUUAUUCCGAUUCUGUUCAAAUACAAAACCAAUGAUUCCUCUGAUCCGCUAUCCACAACGAUGAAAAUGAAUCGAAGAGUGCCUCAGACAGAUCCGCAAGUUCCGACGCGACACCACAUCCUCCGCAACUCCACCACCGAAAUCAAAUACUGA